AUAAUACUCCAUAGAUUAGAGACACUGGAAUGUUCUUUAGUCGAAAGUUCUGGCGCCUUAGGAUGGAUCUGCGGUCGAUUAGGUUGUUGUUGGGGUAACGGCCCAACAAGCCUGUAAUCGAUACGGGUUGUGGGAGCAAGAGCCCGGAGAUGGAAUCUGAGACACGAUUCCAGGCCCUACGGGGCGCAGCAGGCGCGAAAACUCUACAAUGCAGGAAACUGUGAUAAGGGAACUCCGAGUGCCCGUAUACGCGGGCUGUCCAGGUGUUUAAAAAUCAUCUGAAGAAAGGGCCGGGCAAGACCGGUGCCAGCCGCCGCGGUAAUACCGGCGGCUCGAGUGGUGGCCACUAUUAUUGGGCUUAAAGCGUCCGUAGCUGGACCGAUAAGUCUCUUGGGAAAUCCGCCGGCUCAACCGGCGGGCGUCUAAGGGAUACUGUUAGUCUAGGGACCGGGAGAGGUGAGAGGUACUCCGGGGGUAGGAGUGAAAUCCUGUAAUCCCCGGGGGACCACCGAUGGCGAAGGCAUCUCACCAGAACGGCUCCGACAGUGAGGGACGAAAGCUGGGGGAGCGAACCGGAUUAGAUACCCGGGUAGUCCCAGCCGUAAACUAUGCGCGUUAGGUGU
rnacentral:rRNA from 1 species